UACGUAGGGCGCAAGCGUUAUCCGGAAUUAUUGGGCGUAAAGAGCUCGUAGGCGGUUUGUCGCGUCUGCCGUGAAAGUCCGGGGCUCAACUCCGGAUCUGCGGUGGGUACGGGCAGACUAGAGUGUGGUAGGGGGAGACUGGAAUUCCUGGUGUAGCGGUGAAAUGCGCAGAUAUCAGGAGGAACACCGAUGGCGAAGGCAGGUCUCUGGGCCACUACUGACGCUGAGAAGCGAAAGCGUGGGGAGCGAACAGA
rnacentral:rRNA from 1 species